GGCACGCUGCGUGCUCUCAGCUGCUGCAAGCCCUCCUGCUCCCCAAGGUUUGAUAAUUUCUGCCUCUACAAGCCGUCCUCCUCCCAAGGUCUGAUAAAAUUCACCAUGUUUCUCGCCCUUCAAUCCUCCAUGAUGGCCCAACCUCGCAAGCCUCACAUGUUCUCCCGGAUUCAUUGCUGCCAAAGCCUUCUCGAGGUACUGGUGGUGCGGCAUGCUAGAUCGGCCUCCUCCUCUGUUCUCUUCCUCAUCCUUACUGGAUCCCUUCUCCGAUCAUAUCUCCGACACAAAUAGCCACCAAGAGUAUCCAACGAGGAAACUAGGGAUUAGUGCUCCUAUAUGCUAUGUUUUUCUAAUUUACAUCCUAUAUGGACAACAUCCUGAGAGUCAACGACGGAUCACGGAAAGCAGCCGCAGCGUCUUUGGCCGCGUAGUGUACGUCGGAUUCAGAACCGCGCGAAUUGCAUAUCGGCAGUCAGCAUGUAGGGAAUCAUAAGUUUUAGAGAUUUUGGGAGGAAGGUUACAAAGUAAGAUGAGCAGG